rnacentral:rRNA from 1 species
CGUGUAGGCGGCCAUCCAAGUCCGAUGUGAAAGCUCGGGGCUCAACCUGGGAACUGCAUCCAAAACUGGCAAGCUAGAGUACGGUAGAGGGUGGUGGAAUUUCCUGUGUAGCGGUGAAAUGCGUAGAUAUAGGAAGGAACACCAGUGGCGAAGGCGACCACCUGGACUGAUACUGACACUGAGGUGCGAAAGCGUGGGGAGCAAACA